AGCCGAGCGGGUUUAUACCGGUAGAUGGAUGGCGAUUGGCGAGGCACCGGUGUGUGUUUGUGUGUCCGCCGGGUAGGGGACGGCGACUGGGCCCCGCCUCUCACUAUUUUUUUUAGCGUGCGUGUACUAGUAUUUUAUUUAUUCGUUUUUCCCCUUUUAUUUAUUGGUAAUGACUUCUCUACAAACCGCCGUAAUUUCGUUCGAUCGUACAGCACCCAUCCGCAUGCGUGACCCGGGGAACAUUAUGUAUCACCUGCUCUAUUUUCCUUCACCCACCCCAUCGGCUCUCUCUCCUCUCUCCACCACGGAACAUUAUCUCCUCACCUUCGUUCUUUAUUUUGCUUCCCGCACAGCACCAGCCCUCUCUCUCUAAUGCCGCGGCACAUCCUGGUGGCGGUAGCAGCGGCGCGGGCAUGUGGCGCAGCGAAUCUGCUCCCCGCAUCGCCUCCCCAACCUUCCAUCCUCUACACGUUGGCCCCUUGCCGGCCUUGAUCUGCUCCCAUGGCCGGGCGUCUAGGUGCGGCUCUGGUUGCGCUCGUGCUCGGGUCUCGUGGGGCUUAUCCGCAGCGGCGCGACGCGGCCGUGACGGCAGAUACAAGCGUGGUGGAUUUGUGCCGACGAUGAGGUGUAGGGUCACGACCCACGAAUGAGGCUGUGAACAGGAGCGGCGGGUACCGGCGCACCAUGCGCCCAUGUACAUGGAGGAUGGGGCACUGCUCUUUCACACAUCAGCGUCGAGAAUCAGGUGUGUGUAGUUUGUUGACAAGCGGAGGACUCCCUGCACAGGAAAGAGCGCGCAAAGCUAGAAAGAAGGAAGGAUCGAGGAGGCUGGUGCAGAUCUUUCAAGUGCAUGACGUGCGCAAGUAAUUUCAUUCCAUUUCUCUCUCUAUUUCUCUCACAGCCCACUUUGCAUCGUUUCUAAUUCCCCUAUCCAUUUUUGAUGCACGAUGGCGAUGAGUUAGCAACUAGUUUCCUUCAACUAUUGCAAAUUACAGCUCUUAGGCUGGUGAGUAACUCUAUCCCGUCAGAUUGCAGCUCUUAGGAUGGCGAUGCGCUGUUGAACAGAUUGCAGCUCUUUGGCGCAUAUCCAAUCCCGUCAUGGCUAUUAGGUGCACAAACAAUUUAAUCCAUUUUCUCAUCCAUAGCCCUCCCGACCCUCUCAAAUGCCCUUGAGCAUACCUUUUUUGCAAAUCGAGCACUUAUCUAUGCUCAUCAUAUUUUUGCAUAGUACUGGAGAUGAAAAAUCUGAACUGAACAAGUAUCUGAUAUAGAUCAUGGUGCACAUAAUGUGUUUUAGAUUCUCCAUGAAUCGCAUGUGAUGCAUAUAAUGUGUUUUAGAUUCAAUACUUUCAACUAAUAUACAAUCUAGACAAAAAUUCCUAGGUCAUUUUUACAGAUCUCAAUUGAUCAUAUAGGCUAGACCCCUAAAAGCAAUUCAAAGAUGACUUUUUUAGCUUUGGAUGAAUUUUAGAUCAGGUAGAUUUCUGUUCAGUAAAUGAACAAGCAAUUUAUUUAUUCUCAGUUUUGGCAUGUGUGUGUUCUGACUUUAGCAUUUUUUUCAUAUUACGACGUUUAGCCAUUUUGGAUAUGCUUAUCAAUUUUUAAGUAAAUAGUCACAUUUAGUUUAGUAUUUUGUGUUCUAAUAUAGCAUCUUUUAUGUUCUAAUUACCUGCCUACUGAUUCAAAGUCUUGCUUAGUUCUAGGUUCCAGAGGAGGCGUGAAGGCUUGUUUUCAAUAUGUUUAGAUGACAGUCACUUUUUUGGUUCAUAAUGCAUUAUGACAUCUAGCUCUAGCAUUAUGUGUUCUCCACUGCAUGCAUGGAUUACAGUACUAGCUAGUCAUAUCUUGAUAGGGGCUGUUUGAGGGUAGAAUAAAUGUUUUGCUUCAUACGUUCCUACAUUGACUCCUAGAAAAUCAUAGUUAAAUUCUAGUAGGAGUUCAUUUAAAUACAUAACCCUUCAGAUUCUAUUUUUUCACCUACAAUUUAGUAAGCAAAACAAUGUUAUUCAGCAAGCAAAUUAGGGGACUAUAGCAGGCAAAUAGGUGCUAUGUAACUAGCAAACAACAAAUGCAUUCAAGACUAGCAUUUGAUCACAAAAUGGGGGGGAUUGUAUAAUUAAAUUGGUAAACCAGUGAUUUGCAGUAAGCAAAACAAGUAAAUUAAUUGACAUUUUUUCUCAGCAUAUUCAUGCACUUAUGUUGGAGUUCAGUAGUGAAAUCUUGCAAUUUUUUACUACAUCUCUUUUUUCUCUUAUGUGGUUGUCACUACAUGGAACCUUUUUACUGUCUGCUAGAGAGGAGUUACCUUGUGUAGUUAGUCUUGUGCAAUUUCUUCAUGCAAUAAUUUAUUCAUAUAAAGGCAUAACAGAGUACUUUGUGUAAGCAAUUUUCACGACAUUACUACUAGAAUCCACAAAAGUAACAUGCUGUUUUUCCCCCAACUACA